AUUGAACACUGGCGGCGUGCCUAACACAUGCAAGUCGAGCGGUAACAGGUGUAGCAAUACAUGCUGACGAGCGGCGAACGGGUGAGUAAUGCUUCGGAAUCUACCCAAUGGUGGGGAAUAACCAGCCGAAAGGUUGGCUAAUACCGCAUACGUCCCACGGGAGAAAGCAGGGGAUCGCAAGACCUUGCGCCAAUGGAUGAGCCGAAGUCGGAUUAGCUAGUUGGAGGGUAACGGCCUACCAAGGCGACGAUCCGUAGCUGGUCUGAGAGGACGACCAGCCACACUGGGACUGAGACACGGCCCAGACUCCUACGGGAGGCAGCAGUGGGGAAUAUUGGACAAUGGGGGAAACCCUGAUCCAGCGACGCCGCGUGUGUGAAGAAGGCCUGCGGGGUUGUAAA
rnacentral:rRNA from 1 species